GCCUCUGUAGCUCAGUUGGUUAGAGUGCUGCACUAGAAUCGCAGGUCCGCAGGUUCGAUUCCUUCCAGAGGAC